UCCCCACUCUUCCAAAGUCAGUAAAGUAGAUUUCCCUACUCUUAUAUGAAAGUCAGAUAUAUGAAAGUCAGAAUUAAGGUAGAAAAGAAAACUGAGGAGCCGAAUGAACUCUGUAUUUGUUGACUCCGGUAGAUUAGAGCCCAGAAAAAGAAUUCUUGAUUGAAACUAAGAGCCUGCCAUUACUAAAACGGAGACUUGCUUUACUGUUUCCCAGACCCGAAGCCGCCAUUAAGAAUUGAGCCAUUAACUGAUAAGAAGAAAACUAGAAGGUAAGGAAUUGCACUCAACAUCCAGAUCCCUAUGUACCCAGUAGUAACCUUCUCCUUUUGAAACUAAUCCCUAUGUUCCAACUAGAUGAGUCUUAUACUGAAAACUACCGAACUACCUCUCAUUCUUUAGGAACAGAUCUAGGCUCCGACUCUCCCCUUCCAUUCUGAAAUUGAUUAUUCUGUUCACGUAUAAUAAUGCAAAUACUAAUAUGGGUGACCAAUAUAGUGUACCGACUAAUAGAAUCCAACUACGCCUGGUAAUGCUGGUAAUGCUCCGAACUACGAAAUAAGGUUUGCUCCACCACUUAUUAGCCUUCUUUUCUAGCUUUUCAUUCUGUGGAUCUACCUUACUACUGACGUGACGUUCAAUGCAAACUACUUAAUUUCAUAGAGAAAGGAGAGAAUGUCAAAUAAGGAGAAAAUAAGCCUGUGAGAGACCAGACCGGAGUAGAAGAGGUUCAUGCCGAAAUUGUAUUUCCAGACAAGACCUAAGCUCCCUAGCUACAUUCUAGAACCUACGAUCCAGAUCCUUUCUUGACUUCUUAUGUGUCUCACUAUACUGACUUGAGUCUUGCUUUACUUGCUGUCAAGCUGUAUCUACUGUUAACAAGACUUAGACUUCCGCUAUGGACUUCGAACCUUACUUCUGUCCUUAGAGGUCUUAGCCCCAAUUAUGACGGACUUUAUUGCCUAUGCGUUAGAGCCCACCGCUGCUGCUUUUAAGCCUGACCUACCUUACACUCCUACUCUUAAUACCCUUGGGUUCAUUCAUUGUAUAUAAGUAGCUAAUUUCUCAUUGGCGGAGGAAUCUGAGUGAGAUGCCGGGGAUAUAUUCUUGUUAGCUGCACUUGUCUCCUAUAGUUCCGAGGUGAUUUCUGUAGGCACUUUUUCGUUCUCUUACUUUUGAGUGGAAUUCCCACUCCAGCUUUAUAGUGUUCUACUGACUACUACCUGUCUUGGAGCUCCGGUCCCUAUCCUUUGUAUUGAGCUAGAUCCUUAAAAGCACCAGUUGCUCGUUCCAUUCCUUCCUGCAGUAGCUCUGUUCUUGCAUGCCCGGGCUCUAUUCUUCCCAGUAGCCGUUCCAGUCUUUCUUUGGUCGGUGUCAAUUCUUAUUGAGAGUAGUGAGAGGUCUCGGUUUUGCUAGUGUUCUUUAGUUAAUAGCAUGGUUUUACUCUGACUUUGGAGUUGAUUUACCUUGCGUAGCUUCUGAACCACUUCGCCAACAACUCAUUCGUAUACGGACUUCUUUCAUUCUCGAUAUACGCCCUUACUUACUUGAAUAGGAAACCAGCAAAGCAAGGAAACCAACAAGGGAAGAAAGAUAAUAAGCAAGAUCUGGAUUUGAAACAGUAUAUUAAAAGCAAGGGCUGCUUUAGGUGCCUGUGUUAGCUCCCAACGAAGAAAGGACGGACUCCCUUUGAAAGCUACCGUGAGCCAAAGGAUUUGUUCAGUGGGUGUCUUUACUGCAAGAAAUCCAUACCUUGUUUGUGCUCUAUACGCAUUAUUAGAAUUCCUUGAUUUGACUUGCGCUAGUGGAAAGGUCAAUGAAUUCUUUGUUUACUCUGGGGAUAAGAUAAAGUAAGUGGAAUACAGUUAAGAGUCAAAGGGCUGCGAGGUGACUUUCUCCGGGCAAAGGAGUUGUUGACUUUCCGGGCGAUAAAGGAGUUAGAUUAGUUGUCGUGAGUUAGUUAAGUAAGUAAGGAGUAAAGAGUGAGAGAGAUCCUAAGUGAGAGAGAUCCAUAUAAAAGAAAUCCUAAGUGAUAGAGAUCCAUUGAAAAGAAAUAUAAAUAAGAGAGAUCUUUAAGUGAUAGAGAUCUAUGGAAAAGAGAGAAUAGUGGAAUAAUAAGCUUUACUAGUAUGUGUGUAAUGUAAUAAAUGAGGUUACCUAUUACUGAGGUAAUAGCAGUCAACAGUGCUGUUUACUUUGAUAAUAGAAGGUACUAAUAAGAAAGGAUAAUCUAAGGUACUAAUAAGAAAGGUGUACACUAAGAAUCAGAUUCAAGCUUGUGCCUUUCCUCCGCUCUUGUUGAAAAGAAUUGUUAUUGGAAGACCAACCAACCCUAUAAUGAAUUACAUUAGGACAGAGGCAGCUAGCAAGGACGACACUACCCUUACGUAGGCAAUGGAAGCGUCACUCUCAGGAUUCUAGCAGUAAAGCUACCCAUUUAAGUGACCAUUGAAUAUAACUAGAAUCUGAUCAAAAAGUAAUAAAGUAACAAAACACCUUACUGAAUUUAGAAUGUACACCUUCCCUAUAUACAUAGAUUAAGAUUCAAUAGAAAAACGCAGCAUUGCUUCAUAAUAUCUAAUAUGGGCAGGGCAGCCUCACCCCUAGACUGACUUACUUUUCAUUUCCACUUUAUUUUCAUUAUAGCCGUUCGUUCCUUGCUCUUCUGACUCAACAAGCAAUGGCACAAGCAAGACAUUGCGCUAACGGAGUUUACAACAGAGUUUAAGUAGUUGUUCGAGUAUAAAUGCAUUAUAAUAGCUUUUCGGUUACCUCCAACUACCCAAUAUAAUAAGAGUUUACCCUGGCAAACGACCAAAGAAAGGGCUUUCCGGCCUUUCCCUCAAACACUUGACUUCGCCCUUUCCUCAAACACUUGCUCAUGGCUAUGACUAACUACGUACAUGAUUCUUAUUUAUUGCCUAAACCCACUGGAGAGAUAAGCCUUCUCUUCUUAAGCGCAAACAAAGUACUUUCAUGGAAUAGGAGUUAAGAGCGAGUAACGGAAAAGCUCCGGGAACCGGCACAGUCGACUCGAAUGCCCUGUUUUCGUCUUCAAGUCUAGUUCGGGUGUAGUAAGGGUCUUAAUCGGUGGUAGCAGUGGGAGUGUUGGCAAUAGGAAAGGAAGAGUCUAAAGCUUCAGAAGCCAGUUUCAUUUUUCGCUGUCGUGAGUGGUGCUAACGUUUCGGAGUAGAGUGAAGUUCGGUUAUGCUCAAGUGAGGUUAAGCUGUUAUAUCCUAUGUGAUAAAUCAAUCUUAUUUCAUUCAAGGUAGCUCAAGGGCCAACUCUCUCUGCCUACAGCCUUUAAUGGAAUCUAAUCCGCUCUUAGUCAAGCAGUAUCUUCUAAGACUUGAAUCAAUCACACUGCCUUACUGCUUUGCCAUAACAUUACUAGUAAUAUACUCUCCUUCCGCCUUACUGGCUACUCAACUUGCAUUAACCAUAAGUCGGGACAGUGUUUAGUCACGCUCAAAACAAAACCUUAGCACAAGGUCGAACUCACUAUAAACAAUAAGAAAUGGAAUAGAGAUAUACAGAUAUGUCAGAAAGUAACCGGUAACCCCACUAUGAAACUAUCAACUCUGCGUUACUCUCAACUCUAAAACUGACUAACACACAAGGUAACCAGCAACGUUGCAAGUCCUUUCUUUGGGAUCAGUAAGAGAUGCUCCAGUCCAAGUAAAGAGAAAGACAACCACUACAGCUACAGAGUGAAGUGAAAGUGAAGAGAUGCCUCAUCGCUAACCGCUCUAAUACAAACGAAACUAGGGAUUCCACUCUCGCAGCCUCAGAUCAGAUCCCGCUUUCUAUCCAAAUCUUGCUUAUACGCUAGGAUCUUUUCCUGGUGGACUUGGCGCAAUAGAGAGAAAUUCAUUAUUGGUUAAAUGACUUCCAAAGUGCUUAUUCGAUUAAAGCAAAGGGAAGGCCACUACUCAUUAAGUAAAGGGAAAGCACAACUCAGGAAAGCACUACUCAGGAAAGCACAGAUAGAAUCAAAGGGCUGGGCGCGUAAGAACCCCGAUUGAGAGUACUCGGUAAACAUAGUUAAUGGCAAAUUCCCUAUGUUGCUACCUAUCGGCUCUUAUAGUUAAUUCACGCCUUAGAACAUAGAACAUCGACCUCUAGCUCUGAACUUCCCUUCUCUCGGUCGAUGGCAUGCACUGGAUUGAUUACCUGGCCCCCUAUACACACAUGUAAAGGUUCGGGUCUUGUCUUUAAGGCGAGUUGACCUGACAGCUAGAUAAGUUAUUGUUUCCGACUUCAUAGGGUCAGCAGCAAGUUCUUCUUCAAGUUUAGUUCGACUGAAAUCCAUGUUAGUUGGCUUAGAGUCCCCUUAUGUUCGAGGUGAUUGUAUUGCAGUAAUAGAAGAAUACUGUUUUGGAGUAUCGUACAGAAGAUGGAGUUUUGUCUCCGAGAUAAGAUGCGAGAGCUGGGUCUUGGUCGGAAGCUUUAUCAAGUAUACUUUGCGUGGAUCAAUCCUCUUCCGCUACCUUUCCCAUCUGAGGAAUGAAUGGAUUAUUACCAACACCAAGACUUUCAUUCAAGUAACCUACUAAAGCUCACUACUGACUCUAUCACUGCUGACUCUAUCACUGCUGACUGCUUUUCAUCCAAAAACUCCGUUAGCUAAAUAACUCGCAUUAGCACUUGUUCUUGCUCGAACGUGACUUUCCUUUCGAACAGGUCUUUCUUCUCUCUAAGAUUCCACUCGGGAUUAAACUCACACUUAUUAUUCUGAUUCCAGAGUCGAUUGAUUCCACUUUCCCUGAUCCUAAUCAGGCAUCUGAAACUGCUCUAUCUGAUGUUACGGCUUAUGCACCUUCUUUGAAAACGGAUAAUGACACUUGCUUAAGAGUUGGAGUUAAGGGUUCGUAUGUCUCUAAAUCAUAUCUUUCUUCUUAAGGGUUCGUCUGCCUCUAAGUCCGGAGUAAGACGGUAAGAUGAAUAAGGGUUCAGUAUCUUUACUUUUAGGUGCUCAAUAGACUCAAUUCCAAUCUUUUCCUGCUAGAAAGAAGAUCUCAUGCUUCUGUGCUUACGGCAAGAGAUAGAGAAAAUGCAUUAUUUAUUGACUUGGCAGCUUUCAUUUACUUUCCUGCUGGAAUUCCUCACUAGAAAGACUCUGUCCUUCUUCUCUUAGCGCCAACCUCCGCCGCGUCUGCUUCAAGAGCAAGAAGAAAGGAUCCUCAUCACCGAAAAGGAGAAGUUGGGUCCGCAAGUGGUUAUGAAAGGGGAGAGGUAGGGUGUAAAGUGGUAUUCUUUUGUUGUCUAGGUUCGGUGCCGGUGCUUACGCUCUUUGUCUACGAUAGAGGUUAUAGUAUUGCAGCGGUACAGAUGCAGGGCGCUCUUUCUUUCGGGUUCAGGGCGGAAUCAGAAUAACUUAGAUGCAAUGUGUAUUCCAUUCUUAAAGCAACAGAAUCAACAGCAGCAGAAGCUAGAUCCGUAUAAUAAGCAUCAAAUGUGGGAUCGGGAUCGGUUCAAGGUUCCAUUCAGGAUUUCGGGAGUUUUCCCCUUGACUUUGUUAGUGAAAUGAAAGUGUUUCGAACAAGUAGUUGAUUGCUAUACAAGAAAAGUAGUUGAUUGCUAUACACAUGUUGAAUGGGGUAAGCUGUGGUGAUUGAGUUUAGCAGUGUUUGGAGUUUCUUAGAGUUCUAAUGGAGUCCUGUGCUAAUGGAAAGAGAGAUUCAACGAAAUUAGGGGCAUUAAGACUUUUUUCCGAGGGAAGUAGCAAUAGACAGAAUGCACUUUCUACUACAGUACAAAUCCAAUACCUUUUCCAUUUCUUUAUUCGAGGGGCUUUCCGCUGCCUGAAAAUGGAAUGCUAAAUAAUGGAUUUCAAAGAAAACCACUUGUUGAAGAAAACUCCUCGCUGGCUGUCGCCUAAGGCAAUCCUUGAACUCUUCUUUCUAUUAUACUUUGAAGUGUUUUUUCGCUUGUUUCGUUGCUUAUUUCUCUUUGUUACUUUAUCUAUCACAUGUGUCUUUUGAUACUUCUAUCUUAGUUCUUCUAUCUUUGUUACUUUAUCUAUCACAUGUGUCUUUUUGAUACUUUUCUCCAUGGAGGCAUCUCCUCAAUCUACCAUUUCUUAGGAAUAUGAGUCACUUCUUCUAUAAUAUACAUAACCGAACUCCAGACUAUAAUAUACAUAACCUGACUCCGGACUAUAAUAUACAUAACCGAACUCCGGACUCUCUUCUAAAUGAGUAUAGCAAUAAUAUUAAUGCAUGUGGAAUACGCUUCACUUUGAAAGAUGCCUUGAUGGUGAAAUGGCUACCUCAGAAGCGAGCGUGUAGGCAGCGCUGUCUGUCUACGUCGACUUGUCUAGUAGUUACUUUGCCUAUUCAUUGAAAGGCUCGCUCCCGGACUGGACUCUUUUUCGGUCUACGCAACCAGUUGUCGAAUACCUAUAAUCAAAGGCAAAGCGGCCAGCUGUGGAAUGGUUCUUUUGGUGACCCAUUGCUUCGUCUUAUGCUUUUGGUAUCUGUCUUUCCAUCCUUGUUGUUUGCUUUGGGACCUGUUCUACCUUCUGUUUUGGAUCUUGAUACCUGAGUUUUGGGGCCUUAUCCUUUGAAUUGGCUCGCAGGAAAGAGGCCGAUAUGAAACUGAAUGAAUUCGAACUUGCUCUCAGGCAGAAGCACUAGGAGCUAUGGAAUUAGGGGGCAACUGGGCCAGAUGACAUUGAUAGCGGAGUGUAAGUGGUAUGGUACAAGGCUUUCCGUUUGGGGGUCUUGGGUCAAACAGGUAAAAGACAAACGUUCGUCCAGUGAGUGAUCAAUCCAAGGGAAAAACACAUUCAAACUCCUUUUCGGUCAAUGGUAUAAGUAGAAGCCUAUUGGAUUAGCCUAAGGAUACAUAAAGAACAGGAUCACAGAAGUAUUAGUCUACAGAUACAGAUAGAGCUGGAUCAGAAGCUACAGAUAGAUAAGGCUCUGGUAAGGAAGCAAGCAAAGGGGUUAGUUUACCACCCGGCCCCUCGACCAGUUGAUCGCACGUGAAUGAGAGAUGAUAUGAUCCACUACGAACGAGGGAAUGGUAGAACGAGGGAAUGCCCGAUCAAAGAAUGAGUUUUCCUACGACAUUUAUUGUUCUGUUGCACGACCCACCACCCCUAGCCUAGUUCCGUGGGGCCUAAUGCAUAAUUUGUUCUACCACAAAGAACGAGUGAAUCCACUUUCCUCCUUGAAGACAGACUGAGUUACCCCUAAACCAAGGAAUUAGUUUGAUGUCCACCCUUUACUGUUGAAAGUGCGCUCCCGAAGCGAAGGAUGUACGAUUCUCCUUUGAUGCAUGAGCUACGCUGCCCAAAGACCGGCCAAGUAACGGAUAGACAAGUACUAGAACUGGCGAACACAGGACUUGGUCAACGACAACUGUUCAUUCGGCUCCUCCCCUAAAAGACAAAGAGAGAGACAAGCGUAUACUACGGAAAUCGGUUUCUUAUUUACCGCAAGCUGCUGGCUACUCUCUGGCUCCGAUACGAAUCUACCUCUCCUCUCAAUACACUUAUUGUCUUCCCCGACCCGACCUCUCUUGCCUCUGAUCGAGUAGACUUCACUCACCCUACUUUGCUUCUUUAUAAGAUUCCACUCGGGGGGUGCCGAUAAGGGUUGAUGCAAUCGGUAACUCUGCUUUAUUCUUCUCUGCUAUGACCAAUAAGGGAACUACUAAUAGGUCUAACCUGUAUUCUUAUCCGGGGUAUCCCUAUUCUUCCCUAUUACCAGAAAACCUCAUCUAGUAAUUGAACUCAGUAGCAGAAAGGUAAGAAAGAGAAUCCGGGCAGUAGCGGAAAGGUAAGAAAGAGAAUCCGGGUUUGACUGUCCCAAAGAGAAGGGGUUUCAAAUGAACUCUAACAGAACUUCUUAUGUUAUCUGGGAAAUACUUCUAAAACCAUCUUGGCGAUGAGAAAGAAUGCAUUUCUGCCUAACAUCUUUAUGGUUAUCAGAAAGGCCAAGCUACAGGGCUAGUAACGACUACAAAGACAUAGCAAGUAGGCACCAACUACUAACCAAGCGUAUACUACUGGACUGGAACCCGAAACCAGACUUGAAGACGAAACUCCCCUUUCUGACCUGACCUCUAAUAAGUGCCCGACCUCGACUCAGGCUCAUCUAAUCUACUUAUUGCUCCUAAACCUCUCCUCUUCUCUUGCUAAUGAUUCAGUUUCUUACCUUGGAGAAGUUUCUUUCCCUACCGGAGUUACAGAGCAAGAGGGCACAGAUGCCUCUCGAGUAUACUUUCCAUUAGUGUAGACCUUCCCCUCAGAAGUAGCCCAAUCCCCUGAUUCCUUACUACUUGGUUUCAUUCUUAUAUCAAAAAGUGUCAUUCUAAGUGUUCUACCUUAUGCAGAAUAUUGGUCAUAGCUAUAAGUACUGAAGUAAGGGAUCGGUGCUCUUCUCUUCAAAUGAAUAGUCCAGGGCUGUCUCAGGUUUAUCCUCUGCCCUUAAGUAAUUGGCGUCAGUCGUGUCGCGGAAGAGCUAAUGUUAUGCGGCAGGAGCGGGGCUUACUGGUAGAACAAAGGACUGAGUGCAAUUCUUAUGCAGAGUAGCGGGUUGACUUUUGAACUCACUUUGGAACUAGCUUCUUUACUGGCUCUGUAAACUAAUACAGAUGAAAAUGGACUACUACCAAGGACUACCACCUGGAUUUAGUAUUUCACUCCUUUCUUUAAGGCUUCCACUCAAAACUAUUACCCUGCUAAUCCUUAGUUCGUGGGUUCAGUUAGGGUCUGCCACCCCAAGCUCUUACUCUGAAGCUCCUAAUGCCAACUCCUAUGUUUGGGUCUACCUAUACUAACUCGUAAGCUAGCACUCCUGAUCUAAAGUAUUUAUUGAAACUAUGAGCCCUACAACUCAUAACUAGAAAGCAGAAACUCAACUCGCCACCUUUAGCGGAGACUCCUAGUUGUAACUCGCAAACCACCACUUGAGAACAGAGCAGGACCCGGGUUGCACUGCUCUUUGGUUAAAGCCUUUUUGUAUCCCUGGACUCUCCUUCUUACCAGGGCCACUAGUCAAUUGUAUUUAAACCAGCCCACCCGAGUAUUGGAAUUACCCCCGGCGUAUCGGAAACAACUACCAUUGAAGUAACUGUCAAAAACCCCUUCCGCUAACUACCGCUAUAAAGACAGAACUCGUUACAGGCACCGAAUGAAUUCAUAUAUAAAGAAAUAGUGGAUUUCUCUCUUUGCCUUUCUUUGUCUUCCUCUCUUAGAGCUAGUCCGACUGUUAGGAGGUAGUUCCAUGAGUGCAAUUCGAACUUUCCUACUUUAUAGUGGAGGUAUACCUCAUUCUGUUAAUAGGAGCCAUCAAGAGUUCAAUGUGAGUAUCCUUCUGUUCGCCCUGUUCUAUCUAAAGUCACCAUUAAGUGUAUCUGUCUUUCAGUAGAGUGAUGGCAACUACUAGGCUAGCAACUAAACGACAAGUAACUGUAGUAGUGAGUUCAAAAGGAGUAUGUAUUAUAGUAAAGUACCAAUGACUCUAAGGAGAAUCGAUACCUCGACUCAAAGAAAGAAACCAAAAAGGAGGAAUUCUACUCCAAGAUCGGAAACAGAAGAACGGGCUGGGCUCGCUUACCAAAGAAUUCCACUAGCAACUCUUUACUGCUACUCAGGAUAUUAAUGAAUCUGGAAACAUACUAAUUAAUAGAGUUUACUACGAGGACCGGGUAGCUGGCUGGGUGUUAGAGAUGAUAAAGUCAGUAAAGUAGAUUUCCGUAAGUAAGACAUCCUCUGUCCGGGGAUUCGCGCCUAUGUGUUCAGUAAGAAAACCGAACUCAAUCUUUAUACCUUUACUUUAGAACUGAGCUUGCAGGACGACGAAAACGGAAAUUGUAGUUGCUAGCCCCCUUGAUGGUUAUUUUCCUAUAGCUUUCACUCGCAUAGCAUAGCAUCUGAUCUUGGGUGUUGUUAGAGAUGAUAAAGUCAGUAAAGUCAGUUGAUUGCUAAAGAAGAGAGAGAGGAAAGGGAAGCUAUUCGCGCCCCGGGUGUUUGACUUUCAUCUGUCUUUGGUGACCUGUACCUUGUAGAGAAUUCGAAUAUCAGAGUAGAAGACCACAUAGUUAAUAGUAGUUAUAUCAGAAUAGCAGAGUGGAACCGGUAAGUAUUAAUGGAAUACCUGAGUUGAAGACCGGAUGGAUAGUAGAAGAGGAAGACCACAGUAGGGAGUCGGAGAAGAAGGAAUGAAACUAAAGCAGAGGGCCAAGCAACUGAGCCUUAUUCAGCAAAUCAGAAUUCCACCCAUAUGACCAGCGCACACAGGACUUGAAAGAAGGGCCCUUACUCUUCAUUUCCCCAACUAGUAGUGAUCCUGUUGCAUCAGUGGAGUAGCCAGCAGCAGUCCUUGUUGCAUUCUUAUACUACUUAGGACAAUUCUCACUUUCGAACUGGAACUGGUGAGUUGAGAGCGCAGUUACCCUCUGUUACUAGGAUAAAGUAGUUGACUGGCUUUGUGGGUAGUUGUGUCAUUCCUAUACUAGGUCGGGUGGUUUACUUACAAGUGGAAUUCUCAGUUAGUGCUUCUGCCUAGCCUCAAAGCCUGUAAGAUAGUCUGCCCCAAACAAGACCAAUCACCGAACCCAGAUUGAAGUUGAACAAGACAAUACCCUAAACCCGAAACCAGACUUGAAACAGCUAACUACUCUCCUAUUGCUCCCGAACCGAUCUCUCCGUAGUCAACUAAUACAACAAAUAAGGAUGCUUCUCAAUAGGAUGAAACUCUCACUCGAGCAGGACUACCUGGACUACCGGGAUGCUACUACUAGAUUAUUUCCCCAACUCGUAUAUCCUUAACAUCAAGUAAGCCUUUCACUGCUCUGUAAACUCAUUCUGUAAUUACUACUUAUGAGCUUGCUGGUUCUUCUCUGAUCCUAAACCCCUGGCUCUGGCUCUUUUCCCUCCGUUAGUGCUUCUGCCUCACCUCUUGCUUAUCUACCGUAGUCUUCCAAUUCCAUUCCAUUCUUUCAUUGGUCAGCUCCCUUCUUUGACUACUGACAUGAGGAGCUAGCCCGGCCGGAGUAUCUCUUUGAACUUAGCAGCCCAGCAGCCCCAUUACUACUUGCUUAGCUGCCAACCCUGUCCCUGUGCUCUGAACAAACCAAGGGCUAUUCAAAGCUCCUCUAAGAAUUGAGUUUACUUACCGGUAGUGCACUAAAGUUCUAUUCAGCAGUUCUAUUAUAUAAGAUGUGAUUUACAAGUCCUUUAUUUGAAGAGUUGGUAUCAGUUCAAUGAAUAAGGGAUGCGGAAGACAACUCCCCUAGUAUUUGUUUCAGACCGGAGAAGAGCACUGGUAGUAGUAGUUACUUCUAUGGAAACUAUUAAAAGAAUGAGGCUCAUCUACUUACCUAAGGCAACAAGACCUAUGGCAACAAUGCAUUUCACCCUGUGUUUCUCUGGAAUAAGUCAGAUCUUUCUUCCGCUUCUGAAGUUGCUGGUUCAGAGGAUCUGCCUUCCCUCGCUACUUAGAGCUAGAGCACCAACCUAGCACUACUGUUCUCUUUCCUUUAAGAAUGGAGUUUUCUACUUGAUAGCUAAAUCCUCUGAUUCAAUAGGACGACUACUAUACUGGUUGGGUAUUCCACUAUCACAAGAGCUGGAUCGGUAUUCCAAUAAGAAAGAGUAUAACUGACCUCGCGAACACCAAGCUUCAAAGCAAGUAGUUUCUGAUGAUUCCUCUAACUCAACUCCUUACCCGCAUUCCUCGCCUUCCACUUACUAGUUUUAUUCUUCAAUUCCAACUAGCGACUACUCGCAACUAAUACAGAUUCGACAGGACAACUACCCUCGCAUCAAAGCCAAUAAGACUUGUAUGCCUGCUUGGCUCUUACCUUAUUAUAUAUCUGAUUAUAGGAGAACGGAUUCCUAGUAGUUACUCGGCCGACUGUUUACUUACUGCCGUUAUUAACUCGCUCCUUCCCGAAUUAUGUAUUAGGCCUUCUAUAGCUCCCCGAGCUCGGGGUUUCAUCCAUUACAGGCUCGAGUGUCGGUUAAGCCUUUCACUCUGGGUUGGUUACCAAUCUCUAUCUUACAUGGCAGUGGUGGUUCAAAGAAUGUGGUUUCAUAUCCGAGAAUGGGGUUGGCGAGUGGAGUCUAGGUGCCCUAGCUAUAAGUCCCCCAUAUAAGGAUGAGUGCCUAUAUAAAGAUAGAAGAAGAUACUCUAUCCGGGGAGUCGGAAACGGAUUCAAUUCCAUUCCAUUCUUCAGUAAGUAGCUUGUCGUCUCUGCUGUUGACUUAAACACAUGGCCUAUCUUAUCUUUCUAAAGAAAGGAUAACCGCUUUACUCGGCACCCCUAUCCCUCUUCUAUUGUAUUGCUCCUAGACCUAUGUCUUCAAAUGAAAUGAAAUUAUUCAAUGCUAACUAGACUAAAGAAGAUACCUCGCAUCAAAGGCAUCUAUAAAGCUGCCCUGCUUAAUUGACUCAUUGCUUAACACAUGGGUUAUCCAACGCCCUUAUCGCAGAGGAAGCACCCAAAGAAAGUGGAACCCGGAUACUGACUUGUUGAAUUAUUAAGAGAAACCGGAGACUGGGCAACUACUACAAAUGCGCUAGACACGGGUACUAUCUAGAGAGCAUAACCAGAAGCCGAAGAUGGAUCUUGAUCUGAAGCAUCAAUUGGUUAUUAGAGUUCGGGUGCGGAUAGCCCAUGUAGCGGUAAAGUAGAAAGUCAAGGAACAAGUAGCACUUGCCAGGUGUCGGUGCCUCAAAUCCAUUCUUUCCAGUUGUGAUGGAAUCGCUCAUUAUAGGUAAGUCUAGUUCCGUUCAUAAUUGCAUAAAGUGAGAUUAGACAGUUCAUAAUUGGCAUAAAGAGUUCAUCUAUUAGUAGCGUAUGAGGCUAGCGCAUCUAGUAAUAUACUCUUUGUCGUUAUAGUAGUAAGCAUCAGUAAUAUAGAAGUAAGCAUCUGUAAUAGACUGAUAGGAGUCAGCAUAAGAACAA
rnacentral:lncRNA from 1 species